rnacentral:lncRNA from 1 species
AAUUUGUGCCUAAACUAAAAAGUUGGAGCAUGCUCGACCGAUCAAGCAAACGGAUUAGUUUAUACAUCAUUCCCAACAAAAUUGAUCAAGCAAGUGUCCCCAAUCAACCUUCUCGCCCCGUCUCUCAGUCCUUGUCGCGACAUGCCACAUUCAUGCCCGAGAUUCUCUUUCUUGUGCUCCUUCAACAGAUCAACGAUCACAAGGAGUACAUGUUCAAGCCUUCUUGCAGGGUCACCAACAGCUCUUUCUCAUCGAAUCCACCAGUUUCUCGAACUCCAUUGGUGUUGUUUCCCAUAUUUUCGAAUUAAGCUUGCGCACUCCAUUACCAUCCAUGUCGAUUCUUUAAUCGAAAGCCAACAUGAAUUUGAGUAGAUCGCUGAUUGUGGA